AAAAAGUGUUAACUCAGAACUUUCCAGUGAUUUCCCUUAAACACGAGUUUCACAGACACCUGGCCGGUUGAGAAGAACGUUGUCUGAACACAGAACGUGUUAACAGGGUAAACUCUACAGAAUAAAGGUGUUAACAGGGUAAACUCUACAGAAUAAAGGUGUUAACAGGGUAAACUCUACAGAAUAAAGUUGUUAACAUGUUAACAGGGUAAACUCUACAGAAUAAAGUUGUUAACAGGGUAAACUCUACAGAAUAAAGUUGUUAACGUGUUAACAGGGUAAACUCUACAGAAUAAAGU